ensembl:lncRNA
AGCUGGAAGAGCAUUUGUUUCUAUAUCUCUACUCACCCGUGGAAACUCGGCUCCUUGUGGAAGGGAAACCAGGCAUGAGAGGAGUGUAAAAACCUGUCCUGAUAACCAGGACAUUUAGUCGUUAGUAACACUUUUUCUUUCUUGGUGGUGAUCCAAUCUGGCUUUGAGACACUGCUGCUGAUUCAGAGGGGAGCUGCGACCUGGGAGUGCUCAGAGCAUUCAGUGAAGAACAGAAGAAGAGCUGAAUUUUGAACACAGUGAGGCAUAAAGGUAAUGAGAAGAUUUCAUCAAUACCAUGUUAGGAACAUGUUUAUGCUUCAAACACAACCAAUGCAUUACAUGAGUAGAGUGGGAAUAGCCAUUCAUUGUAAAUAAAUAAACAGGUUGGCCAUGAGCCAGCAGUGUGCCCUGAUGGCCAAAGCAUCCUGGGGUGCAUUAAAAGGAGCGUGACCAUCAGGUCAAGGAAGGUGAUUCUCCCUCUCUACUCUGCCCUGGUCAGACCUCACCUGGAGUACUCUAUCUACUUCUGGGCUCCCCAGUACAAAAAAAAAGGCAAGGAUCUCUUGAAGACAGUCCAGCGGAGAGCCACAAAGAUGAUAAAGGGCCUAGACCG